GCCCUCGUAGCUCAGCGGAUAGAGCACCGGCCUCCGGAGCCGGGUGCGCAGGUUCGAGUCCUGCCGAGGGCG
rnacentral:tRNA from 1 species